UGGGGAAUCUUGGACAAUGGGCGCAAGCCUGAUCCAGCCAUGCCGCGUGAGUGAUGAAGGCCUUAGGGUUGUAAAGCUCUUUUUGGCGGGGACGAUAAUGACGGUACCCGCAGAAUAAGUCCCGGCUAACUUCGUGCCAGCAGCCGCGGUAAUACGAAGGGGACUAGCGUUGUUCGGAAUCACUGGGCGUAAAGCGCACGUAGGCGGAUUUGUAAGUCAGGGGUGAAAUCCCGGGGCUCAACCUCGGAACUGCCUUUGAUACUGCGGAUCUCGAGUCCGAUAGAGGUGGGUGGAAUUCCUAGUGUAGAGGUGAAAUUCGUAGAUAUUAGGAAGAACACCGGUGGCGAAGGCGGCCCACUGGAUCGGUACUGACGCUGAGGUGCGAAAGCGUGGGGAGCAAACAGGAUUAGAUACCCCCGUAGUCCCUGAGCGGGCUGGCAAGGCGCAU
rnacentral:rRNA from 1 species